AUCGACAAUGCCCAUUUACCAUGUUGGAAACAAAGGUUACAAAUUUGGUACCUCGGACAAUAUUUCUCUAAUCCCGUUAUGUUGUGUGCUGCACGGUCUUAUUACUGUAGUUGUGAGUGAUUUUUUUUUAAUGGAUUUGUAAUUUGUGCUUAUAGUGAAUAUAAAAUUUAAACUAUAAUUGGUCAGCUUAGAAAUACUUAAAAUGACAUCAGU